CUUCAAUCCCAUUUCUACAAUCAACGAAGCUGUCAUCAACCCCACCAACAUGCCUGAACUGGAAGAAUUUUGGUUGACUGACGGAAACAUCAACGACUGGGGCGAGGUCAAGAAGUUCUGUGGGUUUGCAAACACCCUCCGCACCAUUUAUGUGGAGCGCAAUCCUAUCGAGCAGGAUAAGCGCUAUCGGGAUAAGGUUUACAUGAACCUGCCAUUUGUGACACAAAUUGACUCGUGGCCGGUUGUCAACAAAGGCAACCUCGAGGCUGAUCGCUUGAUUCAGCGGAGAGCAUCGUAGAGGCAUGCAUCUUUUUUGUCAUUUUUUUUUUCGCUUCGAAGAAUCCCCUGACGACGGGGUACACCCCAGUGUGGUAUUCAGGGUCCAGUACGCACCACUCUCUGUGUGAAAGCCAAGCAGCCCCUAUCCCUGCCCGCGCCGAGCCACUUCUGAUGGCAGCAGGGUCCACUGCCUGCGGUGUAGCGAAAUCAGAGCUCUCUGUCGCUGCUGAUGUCGACGGCCAGGCCGUAUAUAUAGCGAUGCCUCAGAACGACCUGCGACUGUGAGCACGUCUGUGGCAUCCACAUGAUAGACAGAGUGCCAGCGUGGCUCGAAUGCACCUCACCCGGCGCUGCCUGCCUGCGGGCGGGAGCCUAGCUCACCCCGAGCGAUUCAGCGCAUGGCGACCUGCUGUGCGGGGGGGGAGCUUCAGGCGGAAGCCAUGCUCAGGUGACGGGGUCGGCAUUGCCCUAACACGUGUUUCCCUCUGCUUUGCCCCACGCAACGGGGCCUGUGACAGGCAGCGGUGGAGCCGAGCUGGGGUUAUGCUGUGCGGCAGAAUGGGGAUGCUGAGGGAAAAAGAAAUGCUUCAAAGAGUAGACUGUUAUUCCCGUUGAAGCUUGUGUAUUCUUGUGCCCCUUACACUAGG
rnacentral:misc_RNA from 1 species